UCGAUUCCGGAGAGGGAGCCUGAGAAAC
rnacentral:ncRNA from 8 species